AGUCGAGCGCAGGAACCGGCGGAACCCUUCGGGGGGAAGCCGGUGGAAUGAGCGGCGGACGGGUGAGUAACACGUGGGCAACCUGCCUUUCAGACUGGGAUAACCCCGGGAAACCGGGGCUAAUACCGGAUAACCAGCCGGUUCGCAUGAACCGGCUGUAAAAGAGGGGAGUUUUCUCCUCUCACUGAAAGAUGGGCCCGCGGCGCAUUAGCUAGUUGGUAAGGUAGUGGCUUACCAAGGCGACGAUGCGUAGCCGACCUGAGAGGGUGAUCGGCCACACUGGAACUGAGACACGGUCCAGACUCCUACGGGAGGCAGCAGUAGGGAAUCAUCCGCAAUGGGCGAAAGCCUGACGGUGCAACGCCGCGUGAACGACGAAGGUUUUCGGAUCGUAAAGUUCUGUUGUGAGGGAAGAACACGUGCCGGUCAAACAGGCCGGCACCUUGACGGUACCUCACGAGAAAGCCCCGGCUAACUACGUGCCAGCAGCCGCGGUAAUACGUAGGGGGCAAGCGUUGUCCGGAAUUAUUGGGCGUAAAGCGCGCGCAGGCGGUCUUGUAAGUCUGAUGUGAAAGCCCACGGCUCAACCGUGGAGGGUCAUUGGAAACUGCAGGACUUGAGUGUAGGAGAGGAAAGUGGAAUUCCACGUGUAGCGGUGAAAUGCGUAGAUAUGUGGAGGAACACCAGUGGCGAAGGCGACUUUCUGGCCUACAACUGACGCUGAGGCGCGAAAGCGUGGGGAGCAAACAGGAUUAGAUACCCUGGUAGUCCACGCCGUAAACGAUGAGUGCUAGGUGUUAGGGGUUUCGAUGCCCUUAGUGCCGAAGUUAACACAUUAAGCACUCCGCCUGGGGAGUACGGCCGCAAGGCUGAAACUCAAAGGAAUUGACGGGGGCCCGCACAAGCAGUGGAGCAUGUGGUUUAAUUCGACGCAACGCGAAGAACCUUACCAGGUCUUGACAUCCGUUGACCGCUCUGGAGACAGAAUUUUCCCCUUC
rnacentral:rRNA from 2 species